AGGCAGAGACAUGGAUGGGAAAACUUUCAUUUACUUUUAGGUAAAUGAUUGGGACCCCUACCCCCCUCUGUCUACUCAACUCUAAUAUAAACCCAAUUUAUUUUAAAAUGAAUGUAAUGGAUGUAACGCAUCUAAUACUAAGUUUCAACAACGGAUCUCUUGGCUCUCGCAUCGAUGAAGAACGCAGCGAAAUGCGAUAAGUAAUGUGAAUUGCAGAAUUCAGUGAAUCAUCGAAUCUUUGAACGCACCUUGCGCUCCUUGGUAUUCCUUGGAGCAUGCCUGUUUGAGUAUCAUGAAAUCUUCAAAGUAAAUCUUUUUGUUAACUCAAUUUGGUUUCACUUUGGUAUUGGAGGUUCUUGCAGCUUCACACGCUGCUCCUCUUUGUUCAUUAGCUGGAUCUCAGUGUUAUGCUUGGUUCCACUCGGCGUGAUAAAUUAUCUAUCGCUGAGGACACCCUGGUAAAAAAUGGGUGGCCAAGA
rnacentral:misc_RNA from 1 species